UUGGAGGGCAAGUCUGGUGCCAGCAGCCGCGGUAAUUCCAGCUCCAAUAGCGUAUAUUAAAGUUGUUGCAGUUAAAAAGCUCGUAGUUGAAUUUCGGGGUUAGUAGGUUGGUCGUGCCGCAGGUAUGGACUGGUCUCACUGAUUCCUCCUUCCUGAUGAACCGUAAUGCCAUUAAUUUGGUGUUGCGGGGAGACUGGACUGUUACUUUGAAAAAAUUAGAGUGUUUAAAGCAGGCUAACGCUUGAAUACAUUAGCAUGGAAUAAUGAAAUAGGACGUUCGGUCUUAUUUUGUUGGUUUCUAAGAUUGACGUAAUGAUUAAUAGGGAUAGUUGGGGGCCUUAGUAUUCAAUUGUCAGAGGUGAAAUUCUUGGAUUUAUUGAAGACUAACUACUGCGAAAGCAUUUGCCAAGGAUGUUUUCAUUAAUCAAGAACGAAAGUUAGGGGAUCGAAGACGAUCAGGUACCGACGUAGUCUUAACCAUAAGCUAUGCCGACUAGGGAUCGGAUGAUGUUAAUUUUUUAAUGACUCAUUCGGCGCCUUACGGGAAAC
rnacentral:rRNA from 1 species